rnacentral:rRNA from 1 species
CGAUGAACCACUUCGGUGGGGAUUAGUGGCGAACGGGUGAGUAACACGUGGGCAAUCUGCCCUUCACUCUGGGACAAGCCCUGGAAACGGGGUCUAAUACCGGAUAUGAGCCUGGGAGGCAUCUCCCGGGUUGUAAAGCUCCGGCGGUGAAGGAUGAGCCCGCGGCCUAUCAGCUUGUUGGUGAGGUAAUGGCUCACCAAGGCGACGACGGGUAGCCGGCCUGAGAGGGCGACCGGCCACACUGGGACUGAGACACGGCCCAGACUCCUACGGGAGGCAGCAGUGGGGAAUAUUGCACAAUGGGCGAAAGCCUGAUGCAGCGACGCCGCGUGAGGGAUGACGGCCUUCGGGUUGUAAACCUCUUUCAGCAGGGAAGAAGCGAGAGUGACGGUACCUGCAGAAGAAGCGCCGGCUAACUACGUGCCAGCAGCCGCGGUAAUACGUAGGGCGCAAGCGUUGUCCGGAAUUAUUGGGCGUAAAGAGCUCGUAGGCGGCUUGUCACGUCGAUUGUGAAAGCCCGAGGCUUAACCUCGGGUCUGCAGUCGAUACGGGCUAGCUAGAGUGUGGUAGGGGAGAUCGGAAUUCCUGGUGUAGCGGUGAAAUGCGCAGAUAUCAGGAGG